UACGAAGGGGGCUAGCGUUGCUCGGAGUCACUGGGCGUAAAGCGCAUGUAGGCGGCUAUUCAAGUCGGGGGUGAAAUCCUGAGGCUCAACCUCAGAACUGCCUUCGAUACUGUGUGGCUAGAGUAUGGAAGAGGUAGGUGGAACUGCGAGUGUAGAGGUGAAAUUCGUAGAUAUUCGCAAGAACACCAGUGGCGAAGGCGGCCUACUGGUCCAUCACUGACGCUGAGAUGCGAAAGCGUGGGGAGCAAACAGG
rnacentral:rRNA from 1 species